rnacentral:rRNA from 1 species
UACGUAGGUGGCAAGCGUUGUCCGGAUUUACUGGGUGUAAAGGGCGUGUAGCCGGGCUGACAAGUCAGAUGUGAAAUCCGGGGGCUCAACCCCCGAACUGCAUUUGAAACUGUUGGUCUUGAGUAUCGGAGAGGCAGGUGGAAUUCCUAGUGUAGCGGUGAAAUGCGUAGAUAUUAGGAGGAACACCAGUGGCGAAGGCGGCCUGCUGGACGACAACUGACGGUGAGGCGCGAAAGCGUGGGGAGCAAACAGG